rnacentral:sRNA from 1 species
GUGGCGGCGGCGGCGGCGGCGGUGGUGGUUACAACCGCAGCAGUGGUGGCUAUGAACCCAGAGGUCGUGGAGGUGGCCGUGGAGGCAGAGGUGGCAUGGGCGGAAGUGACCGUGGUGGCUUCAAUAAAUUUGGUGGUAAGUGAACAGAGUUUCCAAAAUUCCCAACUCCCAGCAAUGCUUUGUCUGAUUGUUCAUUUGCAGAUGUCUUAGCGUGUUAAUUUAAAUGUCAAAGGUUUUGAGGUGUCCAGAACCACCUCCAGAAAGGGGUAGGGUAGAAUGCCACCUGUUGCCUGGUGUGUGCUAACCUGGAGCAGGCAGGGGUAAGACUUAAUAGUUGUCUUUUACCAAAUGGGUUUGCCCCAGGUUAUUAAGAGGGGUCUAGUAGGCCUUGGACAGGGCUGUUGCCACACCUGGCACUUAGUGACCAUCAUCAUGAGAAACUGGAGAGUGCGUGCUGGAACACGUGGUGCCAUCUUGGCUUUAGGAUCCUUUUGAUCAUUGUGUCCAAGGCUUGUGUGUGUGUGUGUGUGUGUGGGAGACAAUUCC